GUGCUCGCUUUGGCAGCACGUAUACUAAAACUGGAAUGAUACAGAGAAGAUUAGCAUGGCCCCAGUGCAAGGAUGACAUGCAAAUUCGUGAAGCGUUCCAUAUUUUU